GGUUUGCACUUCCUACGGCAGGGACUUCCCAGCUUCCUUUGCUGUUGGAAGAGGGUCACAUGAUGUGAUUCUGGCCAAUGGGAUGAGGCCUGAACGUGACCUUGGUGGCUCCCACUUCCCCUUCUUGGUGACCUCAGUGGUAUCAAGAUGACACCAGAGAGGAGCCUAGAGUUCUGAGUCACGGCCUGGAGGAGCCCCGCACGGGCCACCUGCUGCUGCAGACUGCGGCCUGAGAGGGAUAGGGAAAAUUGUGAUUUGGCAUUAUUCAACUUCGUCAUCACCUAGAAUCAUUCAGUCAACUGCUGUGCCAAGGUCAAGUGGGAAUCCAUGCUGACACUGGAAACCUUUUCUUUUGAAGGAAGAAAUGAGAUUCUGGAUUCUUCAGCGCGUCCUAGUUACCUUUGCACUUGUGCAGUCCUGACUUCCCGACAAGGCUGGGCUCACUUACUGGGUGGAGAGGCUUGGAACCCAGGUGGUGUGCAGCGCGGUGCUGGCCUCACACGGAGCUCUGGUUCACUGUGUUGAACGCAAGCCUUGGAGACCCUCGGUGGUGUUCACCGGCCCUGGAUGCUGUGCCUGGAUGCUUCAAGGACCAGCCUGGCCCUGGAUCUGGGGGUGUGGGUCCCCUCCCUUUAGCUGCUGCCACUAGCCAGGCUGACCAGACACGAGCCUUGGAUGAAAGUCCUGGCCUCAAGGUGUGGGAUUUGGCAUUCGGAGUACACUGCUGGGGAACCAGAGCCCUGGGCGGUGACCGUUGACCAAUGGGAAACUGGGCGGAUACGUCCUUCCCCGCCCCUGCCCCUUACUGUGGGACAGCUGGGAGCACAGUUUCUUCUGGAGGCCUGGCUGGAGGAGCACAUGUGUCAGGUUGACACGCUGGCCAAGGGACAUGUGGAGCUCUGUGGCUCGUCGCGGAACAGCAGGCAGCCCAUGGUGGGCCACUCAGCCUUGCCUCACGCUUCCCCUGCCCCUCUUCUCCCUCACUGUGGCUGACCUGGGUUUUUACCUCCUGGAUAGAGCCAUAGCACUUUAAUCCUUGCCUCAGGCUUGACGCUCUGGAAAACCUAUCUAAGACCUAGUGCUUUUGCCCAGCUUGGGGUGGCGGGGGUCUUGCUUUGUUCUAGAUUCUCCUGGAAUCUGCUAAUAUAAAGCAUCACAGCUCACAGCAGUGCUCAAGACCCCUUGGAGAAUGGGCAGCCACCUGUCCAUCUCCUCUCUGCUGCUGAUGGUCAAGACCCCCAAGAGUCUAGGUUGAUGCAUCAUCAGUAGGAUAGAGGGCUGUACUCCUUGGGAGCAAUUGAAGUAGAGAGGAACUGUUUUGUGUGUGCAUGUGUGUAUGUGCAUGCGUGUGCACACGUGUAUGGCAUACCCAUGCACACUUAAGUGUCUGAAAUGCACAUGUGUGCAUGUGUACACGGGCAUGCACACAUGUCCAUGUAUGCACACACGUGCAGGUUUACAUGUAUGCACUGUGUAUGCACAGCAGCAUGCCUGCACACAUGGGUGUGUGUAUGUGGCUUCAUGUGUGUAUGAAUGUAUACAUAUGCGUGCAUAUACACGUGUGAUCAGGGGGUAUAGCUCAGUGGUAGAGCAUUUGACUGCAUAUACACGUGUGUCUUGUGCACGUGUCCGUAUGUGUGUGCACAUGGAUGUGCACGUGGAUGUGUGUGGACACACGAAAUGGCCUGCCCUCAGAGGCGUCACUGGAGGGGACACUUCUGCGCCCUGCAUCACUUAGGAUCCUGGCCUCCUGUUGGGAUGAGGAACAGCGCCAGCCAGCCCGGCCAGCCCCAUAUGCCUCCUGUCCCCGGAUGGCCACCUCCUCGCUUGCUCUCGCCUCUGCUUGCUCUCUUAGCUCCCCGUGAUGGAUUCCUUCACACAGUUCUGAUGACUCGCUCCUCCCGUUUAGCUUUAAUUAGGUUCCAUAAAACAUCUCCUGCUGUGAGUUCUGGUUCAGUAAUUACUAUAUCUUUCAGGUUCAAAGAAACCUGAAUCUUUCCUUUUAGUAAUUUAACAGAACAUUUCACGCUUUGAGGGCUAAAUGCCCUCCAGAUUCUGCAGUCCUCUCCAAAGUAACUCUGAGAGGUAUUGUUUUUAUUUCUGGGAGAGCCUAGUUUUCCUCUUAAUCCCCUCCCCAACGUCUUUUCAGAUGCUGCAUGGGGCCCCGGCCUCCUGUGCAGGAGACAAAAAUCUCCGUGGUCUGCUCCCAAAGCCAGCAGUGGGAACCCCAGGGACACGAACUGUAGAACUUCCACUCUGCUGCAGCCAGCCUGGGGAGAGAGCCCCCGUAGUGCUGCCUCUCAUUAAGAUUAUUUCCUUUCUUUCCUCUAAUACUUGCUCCAAAUAAUUGUGUCGGAGGUGCUCACAACGGUAUUCUCAGGGUGGGGAGACUCGAAGCUGUCCUCUGAGGCCACCAGCCUCCUCUGAGCUGCCGCCACCACUGUCCUGGGCCCUCGGAGCACUCCCUGUGGCCUGCUGCCCCUGGGUGCCCCCACCUUCUCUCCUCUAAUUGGCAAGGUCCACCUUCUGACAACACAAGUUUGAACAAUGAAGAUCUAAUCUCUUAGCAACUUUGAAGUUCAUAAUCUGGUGUCGUGGACUGUAUUCGCUCUGCUGUGCGUUCGAUCUCCAGAAUUUAUUUAUUCUGCUAGAUGCAAGUUUGUGUCCUUAAACAGCAAAGGAUGAUUAUGCAACAUGACAGAGGUCGCUGAUUGUAUUGCAAUAUAUAAAUGUAUUGAACUGAUGUGCUGUGCAUAAACUCACACAAUGUUAUGUAUCAAUUAUAUAUCUUGAUAACAGUAAUAUAUUAAAAAAUAAAGUAAAUCUCCCUUUGUUCUUGGGAGGAAAGUCCAGCACUUCCUCUGGCUCUGUUCUCAGCCCUGCCCUUUGGGCGCUGGGGGCUGGGGGUGGAGCUGCCUCUCUGGUGGGGGGAGCUAGUCAGGGCAGCACCCCACCGCUCUGCAUCUCCAGUCUGUGGCUGACUUUUGGGUUUAGUGGGGAGCUGAGUCUGUCACCCUGUCCGCCAUUUCCUUCAGCUCUGCUUUUUGGGGUAAUGAGGGUGACAGUUCUGAUCUCCCCUGCCUGCCACUUUAUCCUGUUUCCAGUUGGUCCAGAUCCCAGCCAGGGAGAGGGGAUGGGUUAUUUCUCAGCCCUUCUGGGGCCCAAGUCCCCGGUGUGUGCUGUCUCCCUGCCUAGUUCCCUCCUGCUCUAACCACCAUCCUCCUUGGCCACAGUCUCAAUCCUAGCUCCCCUGGUUAUUUCUUGGGCAAUGGUUGUGAUUUGAAUGGUUGAUGUAUUGGGGUGUUUUUGUUUAAUGGCUGUCUCCCCACUAGGCCUUGUGCUCCAUGGGACGAGGACAGCAUCUGUCUUGCCACCCCACCCCCAAACCCCCAAAUCUGUAGCACCUGUCUCCAGGGAGCUGUCAGUCUGGGGAGGAGGAGAAGCAGCAAACAAUAGAUAAAAGACUCAUCCUCUGCACUGAAGGGUGCCACAUGGGGCAGGUGAGGGGCCGCUGGGAAACACCCCAGUCACCACCUCGUGUGUAAAAUGAGGACCCUAACAGUGGGGGAGUUAACUCACAGCACUUCACUUUAUCCAUGUGAUCAGUGUGCUCUGAGAACCUUUUUGUCUUUCUCCUAUUGUGAGUGUGUUGGGACCAGGUGUGGAUACAAACACUUGAGGAGGCCUGGCUAGGGUGUCCCCAUCUGCUUCUGGGGAGGGGAGGAUAGGAAGAAAGGUCCUGUAAGGACACCCGUUUAUCAAAGCUGCUGACUCCUUCCAGCAGGAGGGGGAUUCUGCUGCUGGCUUUGGGCCUCCCAGGGUACCCAGAGAUGGAACGAGGGAGUGAACCCCAGUGGAAGGCAAAGUUGGGGGGGGGCAGUGGGGGUGGGGGGUCCUGCACCCUCCAGCCCCCUGCCUGACAUUAUUAUAGAAUUUUUCUCUUUGCUCAAUUUAGUCUGUAUCCUUCGCUGCGGUAGACCAUCACCAUGACUGUAAAGACUUUCCUGAGUUCUGAUCCGGGUCCAGGUCGUGAUUGCGUCUCUCCAGCCUGCUGCCAUCUGCGGGUGUUCUGCGGCCUUCCUCUGGGAACUUUGACGCUGGCAUCUUAAGAGAGACUAGGCUAGUCAUUUUGUAUUAUCAUUUAUUUUGAGUUUUGUGUCAUAACGAUCAGAUCCGGGUUAUGUGUUCUGGGCAGGCGGACUCCCGAAGCGGCUCUGUGUCCUCGCCAGCCAAAUGUGUCAGGAGGCACAGGGGUGGCGGGGCCUCAGUAACAGAGUACUGAUCGCUCGGUUGUGGUUGUGCCCACCAGGAUUCUUUGCUUGCUGUGAGUUACUUGUUUCCUUCUGCAAUUACUAGGUCAUCUGUGGGGAGAUGCUCCGAGAGUAGGUGAAUAUCGCGCCUCUAAAUAAACCUUUACACCGACUGGUUUGGGCAUGGCUGGAUGAUUCCCUAAUUUAAGCAUUCCUUAUGUAUUUAUUAAAAGGCAUUCUGUAAGGAAGAACUUUCCUUUAUUCCCCCAAUAAUUUAUUGGAGUUAUCAUAUUGAUACUUGUUGAAUUUAUUUAUUCCAUCUGUUCCAUUUUUAUUAAAUAUAUUUAUUUAUUCAUUGACUUAUAGGUGUAUGGAGUCAUGCAGUGGGCUAUAAUCCAUUACUCUCAUUAGUGUUCUGCACAGAUUGCCCAGGAUAUGGUUCAGGGGAACCCUUCCCAUCAUUGGCUUCUGGGUCCUUUGAAAGCUCUCCAUCAUUCUUGGAGCAUCCGCUCUCUCCUGGGGCUCACUGUGCAUCACCUUGCCUCCUGGAGUCCCAGUGGGACUUUCUCUUUUGUCAGAUGCCAAUCCCACUCCAGGGCCCUGGGGGGCCUCGGGGCAGGAUCCUCAUGGGCUCUGGUGGAUGCCCCCAAACAGCCCACAUUUGUGGAGUGCUGAUUGACGGUUUCAUCUCUUGGAAAUGGAUGUGUCUCCUACUUUCAGUCUCAGGGCAUGAUUUGGACUAAUUCAUCUCUGAUGAAGAUGCCCAGUGAAAUGGGCAAGUCAGGCAAACACACCGUUGGCCACAUACAUCGAUGCCUGACUGAACCCGUUCUCACAGGAUGAGGGGCUGGAUGCGCAGAUGUCGUUGAGCCUUUUCAAAUAUAUGCCGUGAUGUGUCUCCAACACGCAGGCACCUACCAUGUGUUCGUUCUCUUGUCUUCUCCUUUGCUCUGGGGGCAGGGGCUCUUGUUCCCUGCAGGCUCCAGAGACCCCUGCAGAGUCUCCCAGCAAGCAGAAGCUCAGCAGACAUCUGCUAAUCCUUUUCAAUCUGCAUUUGUGUACGUAUGUGAAUGCAUGUGUGAGUGCCUCUUUUAUGCAUGCACACACGCACAGCAAGUGUGCACCUACAGAUACAUGUGUGUGAAUGUGUGUGUGUACAUACAUGUGAUGCAUAUGUGAGCACAUAUGCAUCUGUGUCUGUGGGUAUGUGCGUGUGUAUAUAGAGGUAAGCAUGUAUGCGUGUUUGUGCAUAUGUAUGUGUGCCUGUGUGUUUGUGUGUGUGAGAGAGAGAGAGGAUGUAUGCUUACAUGCGUGUCUGUGUAGGAUACUGCAUGAAGGAAUCACUGAACAGUUGGCAAGAGGGAUCACAUCCAGGCUGCUCUGAAGAAUUUCUGUGCCUCAGCUCUAACUCCAACAUUGCCCUGACCCUGCCCUUGGCAAGAACAUUAUUUAUUAGGAUUAGAAAAGAUGUGAAUCCAUUCUGCUUAGGGAGGGGGCCAAGAAUAGGCACACAUAUAUUUAAGAGAAGGAAUGAUGCUGGAAGAAAAUACUGUGUUGUAAGUGACACCAACUUUCACACCAGGUUUGGAGAAUCUGGCCAUUGCCCACCUGCCAUUUCCUGCAUCUGAGAGUGAGCUCCUCAUCCUUCGGGGUGUUUGAGCCUAGAGGAGCCCUCUCAAGUAGGUUGGACCGGCUGACCCCUGGGAUUCCUUAUGACUUGGAGGGAGAACAGCUUGCUCAGACAAGGGUGCAACCCUGAGAGGAGGGGGGGCUGGCACUCUAUUCCCCUCCUGGAGGUCCCAAGGAAAGACUCUGAUGCUACUUCUCACUAAAGCAGAAAUGACUGAUUAGGCUCAAAGUGUUUCUCCUUCCAAGGUUCCUCUUUUCUUUUCUUUUUUGUUUUUAAGGAUUUUAUUUAUUUCAGAGAGAGAGAGAGAAGAGAGAGAAAGAGUAAGCACAAGCAUGUGGGGGCAGAGGGAGAGGGAGAAACAGACUUCCU